UACAGAGGGGCGAGCGUUGUUCGGAAUUACUGGGCGUAAAGGGCGCGUAGGCGGCCUGCUAUGUCGAACGUGAAAUCCCCGGGCUCAACCCGGGAACUGCGUCCGAAACUGGCAGGCUUGAAUCCGGGAGAGGGAUGUGGAAUUCCAGGUGUAGCGGUGAAAUGCGCAGAUAUCAGGAGGAACACCAGCGGCGAAGGCGGCGCUCUGGGCCGGAACUGACGCUGAGGAGCGAAAGCGUGGGUAGCAAACAGG
rnacentral:rRNA from 1 species